GUUGCGGAAGUGCUGAGGCAGGCUUAUAAUAACGUGAGUUUCGGUUUAAGGCUCCUUCGCUUCUGCAAAAAUAUAGAUUGCCAUUUUUUCUGUAACUCUGUAUUCGUAAGAAACACGGGCGAUGACAGCUUUAAAGUAUGCUGGCAUGGAUGAUAGACAGCGAGGAUGAGUUGUCUCCAGGAUGGGAAGAGAGAUCUUCGAAGGAUGGAUGGGUUUACUAUGCGAAGUAAGCUAAAAUGAACUAUUGCGCAUAGUUUCAAUGAACCAGUCUAUUUCUACGGUCUCAUCCACCACCAGCGCCGCUUGCUUUUAUGGCAGUGUUAUCCUUGCCAUAAACCAGUUCUUGAACAUACUAGCCUUAUCGAUUCAAUAUCGCCCACAGAGAAGAGCAGAGAAGCUUUGUUUUGAUGCUGUUAGUAACUAACAGCAACAGUUAGCUAGUUUGAUGGAUCCCCCUCUACACAGUCAUGAGGAAAUGAAGACUGGGAUCAUCCCAAGACAGGGAAGAAGAGGCGCUGUGCUCUAGGUUUUGGAUCUACCAUAUGGAUGGGAGCAGGAGACAGACGAUAAAGGACAGAUCCUCUCUUCCUGAUAUCCUGAACAACUAGCAAGCUAAGGGGUGGCAGUAAAAAAUGAAAAUAAGCACUUUAUUUGACAGUACAUACAUUUACCAGGCAUUUACAAAUAAAUUACAAGGUAACAUGAUAAUUACACAGUGACAACCUAAUACUUGUUUGUUUCUUUGGGAUUCAUUCCAAUGAGCACCAUUUCAUAUAGGAAUGUACCAGAAAGUAGCAAUUGUUUGUGCAUUUCCUGUUUAAUACCAGGUAAAUAGCAGUGGAAACUGCUGUAAAGUCUUUUGACCCAUGGCUGUGAGCAGCCUAUCUAUGCCCCACUGCCUGCCUGCCUGAGACUGUUCAUGAGGCCUUGUUUCGGUAGAGAGAGACCUCUCAGAGCAUGCUUACAACCACUUAGCGUAAUAGUUAUCGCAAGUUCAUACAACAUCAAACUUACUCCCCGCUGCUCUUUCUCUCUCUCCUUCAUGCUCCCCUCUCCCUUUGCCCCUUCCCUAACAGUCACAUUAACAAGGGGAAUACCUACUUUCACCCACGGCAGGCGUUCACGGUGGAGGAUGUGCUGGUGAAGCCGACGUGUUACUUGACAGUAACACAGCAGCCCUGGAGAUCCUGCAGGGUUGCAACCUCUCAGACAGGGUGGUCCUCAUCACCGGGGGCAACUCUGGCAUUGGUAGUGUUCUCUAGCCCUCCGGUCCACCUGUAUGUGUACCAUUGAUCCUGUAGUGACUGUGACCCUGACUCAAGCAUCCCAUCCAUCCCCAUUAAUAGCCCUUGCUCUAGCCUUCAUUAUCCUCCAUUCAACUAACUCUACACAGUUACUGUAAUUACAGGCCAAGGCUCCACUGUACUGCUUGUCUUUAAAUGCUAGGUAGCAUAAACGUAACCACAUGUAACAUGGAUUUGCAUAGUAUAUGUAACAUAGUAUAUCCAUCAAAAGUCCCCAUGCGAAGUUACACCUCACUUUUCUAUUUUUCUAGUUAUUACAUAAAACCAAAGAAUGCCGAAGUCAUGCUGGGAAAAUGUUUUUUGUUGGUUGUGACGUAAUAUGGAGGACCCGGCAAGCCAGCCUAUUCCCUGUAAUGUAAACUCCAACAGAAAUAACUUCAAAUAUAUAACUUCAAAUUAAACUAAAUCAUUUGCA